GGACCAUCAUGAGGAUUUUCGAUAAAUCUUUUGAAAAUAUCGAUUUUUCGAUUAUUAUUGAAAUAAACAAUUCAACAUCUUAGGAACACGUUUUUUCCACUAACUAUGGCCAACUUUAUAUUAAAAUAUGUUUAAAAAUGAUUUUAAAAUCAUAACCAUCGCUCAGUUUUUGUCAAAAAGCUAAUUAUUCGUCUACUUUGAGCCCCAAUAAUCGUACUUCAUAUUUUAUCUACCCGCAUGUGUCAUACAUCAAUGGAAAGCUCUAAAAUGGCUGCUUUUUUUAGUAUCAUGACCUAUUUUCAUCUAAAAAUAGCAAUGGACACAAAGACUCAACCAAACUCGAGAAUUAGACUAUAAAUUUCAAAUAUACGCGAUUCUAUUGGUUGUUGUGAAAAAUAAAUAUAACUUUGCGACUGAAGAGUCAAAAUUUGAAGCUCUUUCGUCCCCGAAGUUACAUUUCCGCCACGCAGUAUCCAGAAUAAACAACUGGUGGCAGCCAUUUUUGUACUGCGAAUCGACACUGUUCUUUUCAUUUACAGUUUUGUUUUUGCUUUGGCUACAAAUAGGCAUUGCCAAACAGAAGAGAGUAAUCCAGGGAUCAACCAAGGAAGCAUGUUCAAUUUCAACAUGCAAAGCAGAACCAUGAGGAAAACUAUUGCUGCACCUGAUGACUUUCUAAAUACCUGAAGCCCUGGAUAUUAUAGUAAGCUUCAACAGGACAUGGUAAAUUACUAGCAAGCAUGGAAUAUCAGCUGUUAUCAAAAUGGAGACAGGAUUUUUUAUAUCCAGACUUCUGCAAGACUGCCAUGGAAUCUACACUAGACCAACAAGGUCAUGAAGUUGGCCGCAGUGAAAGGUCUGUGGGCGAGAUCGCUAACCGAUAGAUGACCAACUUCAACCAAUGCCUAAUCAUCACACCACCUCUAACUCUAUCCAAAAGAAGCCAAUCAUGGUGUUACUACAAUGACUUUAUGCCUUUCACUGUAAAACUAGAUAGACAUUCCUAACAGUAAAAGUUAAACUUUUUCGUCAGAGGUUGAUGAAUGAAAUUUCUAGCCUGUAUGACCCAAGAUACCAGAUGAGGAUAACCCAGAGUGGCCAAUACAAGAUUGUAGUUAUGUGUAAGGUGAAGAAAAGGAAUUCUAGAUAACACUAGCAGGUUUUAGCAGUUGUAGAAGGAAAUCUAAUUUUUACUUAGAUAAUGCUGCUGAUAAAAUUUAAUUUUUACAUUUUGUUUUGCAUUAGUAUAUUUUUUUUUAAAUUGCUAAAUAGACCUAAAGCAUCAAGUUUUAAUUUAAUCAACAAAGGCAUGGUUACUUUUCAAGUUGGUAUACUUGAUAGCCAAGAAUUUAGAGGUGAACUCCAAAAAAAAUGUUUUCCCUUUUUAUAAUCCACAACUUUUUUUAGGGGUACAUGUUUCUAAUUUUACUCCUGGUUGUUUAUUUGACAACAUUUGCUUUAUAUAAACUGAUAUUUAUGUGUACCACUGCACAUUGUUCCUAUAAAUAUAAGCAUUGUAUGAUAAUAACAAUAAACCUAUCUCUAAAACUGACUUGGCAAUUGUUUUUUCCAUUUUUCUCACAUUUGUGUUUUUCGGCAAUGUACAAAACCGUACGGAAAAUUUCUCAUUAAUGAACAAUCAUUAGGGGUUCUAAUUUUGCACAGCUAUUAAAAAUACAUAUAUCUAUUGAAUGUCCUAGCAGAAUUUAGUUUCUUUUGAUAGUUUUUUUUUUACCAAUUUUUUAAGGAAUGGUAUUCAUUUUUUAAUGUACGUUCCGAGACCAUGUUUAGACAAAAAUUCAUAAAAAAUAAUCUAAUAAAGAUAGGAAAAAAUCCCUUUGUCAUUCAAUAGAUAUAUAUAUUUCAAAACAACAUAUGAAGUUUGUAUACAUUCUGUCAUUUGGUUUAAAAACUACAUUCCGUAUAAAAAUAUAGCAAUUAUUAGGUAAUUUUCACCUCAUACGCCUCUCAAAUACAUAUUUUUUGUUUUUUUACUCAGAAUAAGAUUUCUAUAUCUUAGUUAAUACCCAUGUUUCCAUAAUAUAACAAAAAAAUAGUACAGACACUGGAUUUUAAAUUUUUUUGCAAAACCUGAUGACUCUCCCCUUAAUUCAU